rnacentral:misc_RNA from 1 species
UUUUUUUUUUUUUUUUUAACUUUGGUUCUCUUGCUCCAGGCGGCUGUUUUGCUUUCUUUUUCAUUUUGGACGACCUAAUUUUCUUUUACCGUGAUAGAUAAUGAGUCAUUUGGAGUGCUGGUAAGAACCUUUGCCUGUUUCUUUCUGGAAAGAAAUGGAAACAGAAAAAUAUAUAAUACGAAGUUGUACCUUAGAUGUCUUACUUUAAUCAGUUGGAAUUAUUUCUUAUUUUUUAAAAAAAAUGAGGUGGG